UUCCACAGACCAUCAAACACCGCAUCUCAGAGACGGCUUAGGAAUCCCAGAGCUUGAAGCAGCAGCAUGCUGGCAGACGGCCUGCCUGGUCCAUUCCUGUGAGCGAGCUGCGGGGUUGGGGCUCAUCGUGCUGGAACCCACUAAGGGCUAAGACUACAGAAGCUGAGGAUGACAGCCUCACGGCGGCGGUAGCGGGAUGUGGGUCCCUCGCUGCGGCAGCAGGGGCGCUGCGUGUGGACCAGGAACUGCACAGGACAUGGCAGGAGGCACAGUUAUCUGCCGACUGGUGAAUCAGAGGCAGAUUCACGAGGGGGAGUGCCCUUUGGUCACUUCAUCGACCCGCAUGUGACCUGUAUUCAGCUGCCUGUGGCUCCCAGUGUCACUAGAGAAGACAGCGCCACACACGGCCAGCCCAGGAAAAGAUCUGAGUUCCAUCAGAGGUACGGCUGAAGGAGGGGUAUGGUUUUGGCCACAUCAUUGUUUUUUAUUUUUUUCCCCAAUGGUUUAAAAUUAGCACUUUAUCUUUCUGUGGACAGAGGAUUAAAGUGUCCACACCACCUAUAAUGAACAAACACCAGUACAGAGAGAGAAGACAGCAGGUCUGGAUGCUCCCAGGGAAAGCCUGGACUUCGACGGACACCGGCUGAACCACAGCCUCUGACCUGUCAGGUGCUGCCAUCCAAAUUGGUUUGUGCAGCAGCUGGGAUGUCGGGUUUACUUUCAUGGAGCCGGCGCACGGGUCAAGUGUGCGGCCAGGCAGGAUGAAGCCAGGGCUGCCAGCUCCUAUACCGUGGGGGAUUGGAAGCAGCAAGUCCCGGACUGUCUGUCCUGAUGACUCGGCAGAGUCAGGCGACGUGACUGAUGAACGGCCACACUGACUGAUGAGCUGUUGGGUGCUGUGGCUGGCGGAGCGAGCCCUUCAUACAUGUAUCUUGUCUUUCUAAUCACGGGGAGAGGUAUUGUAACCACAGCAACAAGACGGGAAAUUAGAAAAAAACGGGCACAGUGUGGUGAUUUGCAGCAGUGCGCAGUGAUGAAGCCAGAGCAGCCAGAGCUUCUGUCUUCUCAUGCGGCUGGGGUGACCCCGAAUUCCUGGUCCUCCUGCCUCCACCUCCCAAGUGCUGCCGCACCUGCCACCUUUCUACUGCCGUCCUGUAGGAGACCCGUGACACCAGCGUCACAGAUGAGCAAGAGCAUGUGGAGUCUGCCUUCCGUGCGGGGCUAAUUUUACUUCACUCUGCACACUCUAGUCCCGCUCAGGCUCCUUCACAUGUCAGAGCUCCUCUUUUAAGGUGGCAUGGCACUCCACUGUGAACUUGGAGCAUAAUGGCUUCAACCUUCUGCCUGUCAGCGGCCAUCUUCACUAGCCCGGUAUCUCACUGACCAUGUGGCGUCUGUCUGUAGUAGGCACCAGCCUGCAGGUACCUCAUUGACACGUUGCCUGCAUUUCCUUUAAGUACUGCCUGGGACUAGGAGUUCAAGACAUGAUGAUAGAUCUACCUUCAUGUUUUGAGGAAUCUCCAAACCCUCUCCAUAAUGGCCACACUGAUCUGUGUUCCCACAGCAGAGUAUGAGUGCUCCCUCUCCAUAAUGGCCACACUGAUCUGUGUUCCCACAGCAGAGUAUGAGUGCUCGCUCCUAACACUCACACCAGCAUUUCUUGUUAUUAACCCGUCUGUUUCAACAGCCCAUAUUCUAACUGGGUGGGUGACACCCUGGUGGAAGUCCCUGUGCAUCAGGGAGGGUCAGACAACUGCCUUUUUCUCUCUUGCCAUGUGGUUCUCCUCAAUUUCACCUCCUAGGUGCAGGUGGCAUGGUGGCAGGGAUUGGGGGGGGGGUGCUACAAGGUGCUCUGCUGAAACCUCCUUACCCUCAAUAGGAACAGAAGGGGACUCCACCACCAUCACAUCCACCCUCUGGGACCCCAGGAUGGCCGGUACCAUCUCCAUAGCUAGAGCCCCACAGGAGGCGAGUCUGGCUGUCCUCAACCUCUGCCCGUCGAGGACCUUCUGAUCCACAAAGGCUUCCCUCUCCUACACUGAAGUGCUCUCCCCUGCACGCAAAGCAGAUCUUGCUGGCUGACUCCAAACUUCGGGCCAACUUCAGGGCUGAGGAGUGGUGCCUGUAGCCUGCCUUCCGUGAGGCCCGAGGACUCAGCUCAAACGCCAGCUGGCUGAGCACCACGCAAAGCCGAGUCCCACUGUACUCAGUCUAAAUUGGAUCCCGGGCUUCAGAAAUGCAGCGAGUUAAUAACUCGCUCUAAUGGGCUUUUCCCCAGGCCCCAGGGACCACUGAGUUAAACGCAUUCCUCUAUUUCAGAGCACUUAGAAAUCUCAGUUACACAUGACAGAUUCUUCCCUUAUCAUGUGUGCUCAGCACUCGGCCUGGGUGCUGUCAAUCAACCCAUCCAUCCAUCCGCCAGCCCUUCUGUGAAAGAGAGGCUGCAAACUUUCUCCUCUGGCCGACCCUCAGCACUGUGUGAUAUCGCCCCUGCUCUUAGGAAGACACACAUGGGAAACCAAACACAAUUGUCACACAGGAGUGUGAGUGUAUGUGCAUGUGCGUGUGUGUGCAUGUGCGUGUGCGUGCGUGCGUGCGUGCGUGCGUGUGUGUGUGUGUGUGUGUGUGUGUGUGUGUGUGUGUGUGUGUGUUGUUAAUGAGACGCUCCCACUGUGGCUGCUCUCUCUGGGGACAAGCUGAGCAUCUGCCUUGCUUUGUCCCUCUGUUCCUCUGUCCCUCUGUCCCUCUGUCAGGAAAACAGUUUAAAUGGAAGAGGCACCAGUGCUCAUCAGCCUGGGUCCUGCGAAGGCUGGGAGUUCCUCCAGCGGUGAUAACACCUCCCUGUAGAAGACACCACAGGUGUCUGCUGAAUCCACCAGGGAGGGGAGCAGGGAGUAGCAGAGAGAGGAGGGGCCAUGGUAGGAGACAGCAAGGCAAGCUGGGUAGGAGACACCAUCAUGUUUGGACUCCUGACAUGCACCAGACACCCCAUGAGCACCAAGGGAGCAAGGAGGAGGAUUCAGAUGUAACCAGGGGCUAAUGACGUUCCCUGGAGUCCAUAAACUCUAGAAUAUUCUGAAUGUGUCAGGGGUAGGGCAGGGUGUAGACAUGGUAUACACGACCGUGUCCCCAUGCUACAUUCCAAAAAGUCCUUCUGUAGCCUGGUCCUCAGGCUUCUCCCAGGCCAGUUCUAGCUCCCUCCCUCCACACGCGGGCAUGCGUUAUCUUUUUGACUAUUGUACCAACGGCACACAGGAAGCAACAGGAGGAAGGGGCAUUAUUUCCCUCCUGGUUUAGAGUAAGGUCCUUCACUCUACGAAGGCAUGGCAGUGGGCGUGUGUGGCUGCCUGCUCACACCUCAGGGGACCAGGAAGCAGAAUGAAGGGGAUGCACACUCUCAGCUCAGGUCACCCCAUUUCUGCUUUUUAUUCGGCAUGGGAUACUGGGCCAUGGGAGGGCGCUGCUCACAUUCCAUGGUGACUCCUCUUCCCUCAGUUAACCCUCUCAGGAGGCUCCCUUGGAGAGGAGGUGUGCCUAAAGGGGUGCCUCACCAGCACCCCAGGGGCUUCUGAUUUUUAAACGUUUGCUAGCACAGUACUAAUCACACAUAAUGGGUUUCCUUAUGUCAUUGUGAUUCAUGUGUAUAAUGAGUGCAUUUUGAGCAUAUUCACCCGUUAAUAUAAUGAUCUUGUCCUUUGGGGCUGCCCUGUGUCCUGACGUAGAUACCUCUUCUUAAGGAAAAACGCCUCCCCUUUUUCUCUCUCUUUCUGAUUUCCUCCCUUGAGGUGCGCACCCUGGAAUCCCACCCCCCUUCCUGUCUUUUCCUAUCUUUCUCUUUAUCCCUUAUUAUAACGAACCAUUUCCUUUCGGAUGUAGCGUCUGGGUUGUGAAUGUCCACCUGCUGCCCCACCACCAUGGCUACAUGGAGUGGGUCACCUGCCAGCCUGCUGCUGCAUCUGCCCAGCAUGCCAGUAUGGUUCCCUGUAUGAGUGGGAUACCCUGGCCUGGCCGGCUGGGGGUUUCCCACACAUGCAUAAUAAGUAACACACCCCAUCGCUUUCUCAAUUCUGUAAACCCCCUUCCUGUUUCCAGCCAGCUCCCCCGUCUACCUUCAUGUCACUUUUUUUGGGGGUGGUGACCCAAUGUAUUUCAUUAGGGUUACUUGCAGGAGCACGGGUAAAGGGAAGAUAAUUUGACAGGCGCAGGGAUGGCUUCUCAGUGUCUACACCACUGAGGAGAAUGUGUCUCCCACUCCCUAGGCAUUUUUUUUUUCUCAAGCAGAGACUUAACAAUCACAAACCGGUUUGCUCAGGGACGACAUGAGUGGAUUCUCUUCCGUUCUCUCUUUCUCUUUGGAGGAGAGCUGAUUGCCGGCAAGGGGUGGGGGGUAAUGGAAGAAGGUUGGGUAGCCCAGGUGUGUCUGUGGGGGCCUGACUCAGGAAGGCAGAGCUGCCAGAAUGUGUGCCUAUCCCAUGGCUGGGGGCCUGGGAGGAACCAAGGGAGAGGCGGAGCCGUGAGCAUGGGCGCUCUUCCGGCUUCUUCCUGAUGGGCAAGCACUCUUUCCUGCCACACCCCACCACAGUGCUCCCACCCUCACAGACAGACUCUGAGCCAGUUGGAUCAUCUCUCCUCAAAACUCUUCCCUGUCAGCAUCAGUGAGUCUAACGCAGCCAGUGCCUGGACAGGAAGACCCUGGAGCACUCUCCUUCGUCUGCCUAUCUUCAGGGGAGACACGGGAAAAUUCCCUCUGUGCAAAGAUGGCCUGCAAGGUUCAUCUGAAAUGACCACUGGAGGCGAGCUUUCCCGAUGGCGUGCUCACUGGCAGAGUGCAGGAGAUGCCUGAGGUAAACCAGUGAGGCCCCGGGGUCACAUCCACCCUGCUUGCAGGUGGUGUUGGAUGAGGCCAGCUUUUCUUCUUUACACAGCUCAGAAGACCUUGGCUUUGCCAAAGGAGGCACAGAUAGCAAGCCCGUGGGACAGCUCAUCGCUGUCAGCAGCUGUGAUGAGACCCGCCUUAGGCCUGGCUCUCCUAAUGCUUCCAACACAACCAGGGCGCCUUUCCGAGCCACACCCCUUCAGCUCACUAUCUUCAGAUCCGUGGAAGAAACUCCACAGAAGGUUCUGGAGGCCUGUCUCUGUGUCCUCACUGAUGUGUGGCAGCGUCUCUGUGGCUUCAGCUGUCUUAGGUCCCACCCAUCAAUGUAUAUCUCUCGCCAUCCUCUUUUAAUCCAGUCAGCCCCUGACUUAAGAGGUUGGCGCCUAUUACAACUUUCUGAUGACGUGUAAUCUCCCAGUGUUCAGAGGGAGUUGCCCUUUGAACCUUUUGCUGUUUUCUGGCUGAUCUCACAUGCUCACAGUGCAGCUAGCUCCCAGGGAGCCAUACCGUCCUUAAAGCAGCCAGAGCUCCAGGUCAGGGGCAUCAAGAGCAUGUGGACUUAUAAUGUCUGUGAUUUAUUUUCCCCAUCUUAAAUGGAGGGGUAUUGGCAUCCCAUCCCUUGCAUAGGCUUCCUCUCCUCUGGGAUUUAGCCCCCUCCCUUAAUUCUCAACACCACCAGCGGAAGUCAGUCAUAGCAUUGGGGCGGGGCCCUCCUCCUUGCAACACCACCAGAGACAUCAGCCACAGUACUGGGGGCGGGGCUCUCCAUGCAGGCUUCUUUCCUGUUUUCCACCCCCGCCCCCCCAGAGAUAACCCUCUUAAGGACAGAGCUCAUGUCUUCUCUACUUGUCCAUGCUUUUCUAGAACCUAUCCCGUGACCACGGACCUGACACCUAGGCGCCCCAUAAACAUUUCUUCACGGGCAUGCUUCCCGUGUAGACGAGUAUAUGUGCACAUUGACCCCCCGGACUGCCCCCCAAGCUUGUGCAGGGGUCUGGAGGCUACAGGGGACUCUGGCAGGUGCCAAGCGGUAUGGCUUCAAGGAGAGGACACAGGGUGAUUUAUUUGAGUAAAUGAACCUCGGAGUCGCUGAGGGAAAGAGGAAGCCAACAUGGAAAUCCUGUCAACAUCAGACUGUCUAUAUUCCCACGAAGAGAAAUCAGAUCCGUGAAGGAGGCCACGUGGUCCACAGUGUCAGGAUCUAUCUAGUCCAGCCUGCUGCUGCAGAGGAUGACCUCCUUCGGAAGGGAAGUAGCUGCUGAGGGGCCGCUCCAGUGCAAGACAAAGCCGUGGGAAGGUUGGCCAGUCCGUUUUCCUGCCUCAGCAGCCAGAUCCACUCCCAAGGCGGUGGAAAGCUUCAGAAGGAAAUUGGAUUGCAAUUUAAUUGAUGGCCUGGAGGAUGUGCUACGGUCAUUAAGCUGCCCUGGAAAGCCAGCCAUUGUUCUGUACAGCGUGACAGAGCUCUGCUUGGAUGACACCACACGUGUGUGUACGUGCAUGUGUGCCCAGUCCCUUCCUCACUGGGCCCACUGUGAGCAGGAGUGUGUCUCCGCUGCCAGGGGGACCCCAGUGGCCACCGUCACAUCACAUGCUUUCUUGGAGGAUCUUACAUCCAGCAGCCUCCCAGCUCUGCCUCUGGCUUCUCAUUCCUCUCCAGCCCCCAAACUUGCAGCCUGGGAAUGCCCUCUCCUCGGACCUUGCCAUAGUCACCUUAAGUCCCUGCAUGGCCUCUGCCGUCUGCGCAGUCUCCACCAGACUCCUUGUCAGCUCCUGGGAAGGCCCACUGUGAGCUUCCAGAAGCUUCCUCUGGGUCGUGGAAAGCUCCCUGGUCAGAGUUCUGACAAGUCUCACAGCCAAAAGAAAGUACCCCCAGCUCUGUUGAAAUCUCUGUUUCCUGAGCCAUUUCCAUAGAGAUGUUCCUUCUGUUCUGUUCUCUUUAUUCAUGGCUCACUUUUUUUUUUUAACGUAUUGUAAAAUAGCAUUUCCCAAAUUUCCAGUGUUAUCCAGAUCUGGCUGAAACCUUUAGCCUGGAUUUCAAGUUUCUGAAGGGAAGAUCUUGCAGCCAGCAGUGACUGGUUUCCAGCUCAGCUCCUGUACCUGACACUGAGCUGAGAAGAAGCCAGACAAGGACCAAAACUCAGCCAUGGUGACCUUGGUACCUGCCCUGGGAUGAUAGGGAUGGGAAUGUCUGUGAUUGCUGCAGGCUCUCUCUGUCUCUGUCAUCUCUGAAUCUCAGUCUCUUUAUCUCUCCCUGUCCCUCAGUCUCUCUCCCUCCCCCCAACCCUCCUCUCUCCGUGUGUAUGUGUCUUUAUUUUAGGAGCUUCUUCCCUCCCUGACUGGGAGAGCCCCUUCCAGGCCUCAGACCAGGGGGAGGGUGCCCAUUUGCUGAGAAGGGAGAGGCCUUGUGAAGCCUAGAGUGGACUGUGCCCCCUCCCAUCCCUGGCCCCUGUAAUCAGACGUUUCUAUCAGCUCCUGGGACAGAAAAGAAACCCUGACCACGUGCAGCCAACUCUAUGCAGCCCAGCCCCCAAGGAGACAGAGUGACCUGGCUCAGCUAGAUGCAGGAUUCAAGAGUUCCCAGCACCCUGGGCACACUCAGAGAGCUGUUUCAUUUCUUGGAGAAAAACAGUGAGCCAAGCUCCAGGCUAGCUCACUAAGGUGAGCCAGGCUCCAGGCUAACUCACUAAGGUGAGCCAGGCUGCAGGCUGCUGGGCGGCUGCUCUCCCAGGUUCUCCGCUUGUGGGAUCCAGGAAGAGAGGGAGGCAACGCCACGCUUCAAACAGCUAGUCUCUUUUUAGGGAAGAUGCCAUCGUCUCAAUUAAAACGCACACCAGAAUAUUUAAUGGCACGGAAAUUGAUUUAGAUGCUAUUUAAAUAAUUUCCCCCUGGAGAAGAUGGGAAUUACUUGGCCUAAUUUUCUGGAAGCAUCCAUUUCCUUACCGUUCACAACUUCCACUCACUGCUCCGUUCACCGGGGUGAGCUGCAGUGCGCAUCGGUCUCCCGGGACUCCGCUACCGCAGGAGGACAGAGCUUAAGACAGGACAACUGUGGUCAACAGGAGAGGACAGGGUGGUGGCUCCAGGAAGACUCUGGGCGUCUCACCCUCACCAGGUACCACCUCCCCCCGCCCCGCCCCGCCCCAUGUAGUUCCAGAAGGCCUAGUCACAGGGAGGAGCUUGGGGGUGGGGCUGGUGAGGCAUGGUCGUUCAUGAUGUCAUCAAGAAUGGGCGGGGCAAGUGAAGGCAGUCUCCCCAGAGGGUAUAGCUAGCUUUUGCAACCCCUCAGCAUCUCUGCCCACCACACAGUAGCCCAUAGGAUAUUGGGGGUGUUUCUGAGCUGUAAGAGGAUGCAAGGAGAGUUGGAAAUGGAUCUGUGACGUGCCCUUUGGGUCACAGUAAUCUAUGAAGAGUCCAGAUUUUGCCUCCCAUUACUUUCUAUUUUCCUUUCACAGUGGAAAGUACAAUGGUUCAAAGCAGGUGAACUAUACAGAUUAUAGCUCAUGGACCGAAUCUGUCCCUCUGACUGUUUGUAUAAAUAAAACUUUAUUGGGACAUUGUGUGCUUUUCCUUUUAGAUGCUGUCUAUGGCUACCUUCCUGUUUCCUCAGCAGUAUCAGGCAGCCUAAACUAUUUACUAUUUAUAGGAACAUCUUGCCAACCUCUGUUUGAAGUAUAAACAUAUGAAAAUGGCUGUUUUAUUUUAUUUAGUUAAAAAUUUUAAAAGGGAAAAUACCGUCAAUUUCAUGUGGCUGGACCUAAGAUCCCACUUCUCAGAGAGAUCAAAUGACCUGUCCAGGGCUGUACAGCUGGAGAACAGAAGGAUGAGGACACCAGCAUAGACUUCACUGAAGCCAGCGUAAGGGCCCUGCUUGCUUUCUGUAGCUCUCUAGUCUGAGCUCUGUGGUCAUGUGACUGCCCCUGCAACCGCCAGAUACUGACUUGUCCCUGAAGCCCUACAUUGCCCUCCCUGGAAACACACCCCCAGAGCAUGCUGGGACUGCAGAAUGAGAAGGACCCUGGUUGACUCUUUGCUCUGACUCAGUGCUGUGACUGGAACCCACGCUGGGAGCUUCAGGUCUUAGCAAGGGGAGUUGGAGCACGGUGCAGAGGAAAACAUGAUCAGACCAGCCAGGGUCCCUCCACCCUCUGCUUUCUGGCUACAACACAAGGGGGUAAGAGGUGCAGCAAAAAGCCUGGUCCAGACAGGAGAUGCUGAAUCCACGAGACUCAAAGGGCCGUGAAAGUCUGAACAGGUUGGUUUGGAACCAAGGGUCUUAGGGGUCAGCUGGAUGAGGUGUGGGGGUGAGUCUCAGAAGGGGACAGACAGUAGGACACUCAGACUUCACUGGUGGGGUGGACACUUUCCUGAGACAGCACUCCCUGAGCAAGGCACAGCUGGGGGAUGGUUGAGCACGCCUCCUGGGCCGCUAUGGAAAGUGGAGACUGUUUCAAACAGUCUCGGGAAGGUCGAGCGGAGGCAUGUACAGUGCUGAUCACAGCCCAUGUGGCUCCAGAGCACGGUUAAGAAGGACACUAGCAAAAGCAUCAAGGUGGGGUGGAGACGAUGCUGGCACCGGAGUCACCGUGACAAUCUGCAGAUUUGCCACUCACUAAGUCACCGUGGACACUUCAUCUCAAUAUGUCAUGCUCAUGCACCUGCAUCCACCCUUAAUCCCUACACACUCUGUGUCUUCCGUGGACAGCAAUCAUUUCUCCCAUAGCUACAU